rnacentral:tRNA from 1 species
AGAAAGUUAGUCUACACAAGACAGUUGAUUUCGACUCAACAGACCAUAGCCUGCCCUAUGACUUUCUU